GACGAACGCUGGCGGCGUGCUUAACACAUGCAAGUCGAACGAAGAGCGAUGGAAGCUUGCUUCUAUCAAUCUUAGUGGCGAACGGGUGAGUAACGCGUAAUCAACCUGCCCUUCAGAGGGGGACAACAGUUGGAAACGACUGCUAAUGCCGCAUACGAUCUGACCUCGGCAUCGAGGAUAGAUGAAAGGUGGCCUCUAUUUAUAAGCUAUCACUGAAGGAGGGGAUUGCGUCUGAUUAGCUAGUUGGAGGGGUAACGGCCCACCAAGGCGAUGAUCAGUAGCCGGUCUGAGAGGAUGAACGGCCACAUUGGGACUGAGACACGGCCCAGACUCCUACGGGAGGCAGCAGUGGGGAAUCUUCCGCAAUGGACGAAAGUCUGACGGAGCAACGCCGCGUGAGGGAUGACGGCCUUCGGGUUGUAAAGCUCUGUUAAUCGGGACGAAAGGCCUUCUUGCGAAUAGUUAGAAGGAUUGACGGUACCGGAAUAGAAAGCCACGGCUAACUACGUG
rnacentral:rRNA from 1 species